CUCAAAUCUCACUCUCAAAACUCUCUCAAACUCCCUAAAAUUCGCAGCUAUAAUCAGAAUUUCGGACAGAUUCAGCAAGCUUCACUAAAAAGGACAAGUUGCUCCAACUAGCUAAUCCAACAACCAACUUACUCUCGGAUUCCCAAGUUCAAGACUUGCAAAACCCACUACUACAGAACAGAGCUUUAGACGGGGUGAUAUGGGUUUUAAGACGGUGUUUUCAACACCGUCUUAAUGUACACUGGUUUAAAAUCAAGUCUUAUUAGACGGUGUUCAAUUUGAACACCGACUUAAACUUGGUGAACACCGUCUUUUGGUGUUCAAUUUGAACACCGGCUUAAACUUGAUGAACACCGUCUUUUGGUGUUCAAUUUGAUAAACUUGAUGACCACCGUCUUUUGAUAUUAUGAUAUAAAUCGUCGCUGUUAUACUA